UCUUCAUUUUUCAGUAUAAACUGACAGACAAAGAAGCACCCGUGAGUCAGUGGCCCUCUAAUGCAGCCAAUUCUCAUUCACGGGCACCAAACAUGUGGUUCAUAAUCAUACACUCCAUUCUCUAUAUAAGAUCAUUUGUAUCACCAUGAAUAUUGUGAGUACGUAGUGAAGUGACUAAUUAAGUUUGUUGUAGCUAGGAAUAUAAUAGUAAGCAUGGAGAUGGGAAAGAAGUUAGUGAUGUUAAUAUUGGUGGUUUUGUUGGUUGAAAGGUCGAGUGCAGUGACCUUGUGUAAGAUGGAUGAUAAUGGAUUUGCAGCCUGCAAGCCAGCAGUGACUCAGCCCAACCCAGUUGAUCCAACACCUGAGUGUUGCAAGGCUAUCUCUGGGGCUGACUUGCCAUGCCUUUGUUCAUAUAAGAACUCAAUGGUUUUGCCUGCUCUUGGGAUUGAUCCUAAUCUUGCCAUGGGACUUCCUGCCAAGUGCAAUAUCACCCCUCCUGCCAAUUGCUAAGGUAUUUUGAAGGAAUCUACUACACAUUCAUGUUGUCAGAGUCACAAUUGCAAUUCUAGGGUUGCGAAUGAUCCAAAUUAUCUGUUGUCUUUACUAGCUUGUUUUACUCUUUAUUUCCCCCAAAACAUUGUCGUGUUGAAUGUUCUCUGAGCAAGUUAUUUGGAUUAUGUCAUUUACUCUUUUGAAUUGUGUUGUAAAAUAUUUGAAUUUUAUGAAACAACUUUAUCAGAAAA